CCACUCACUACUGCAGCUUUCCUCAGAAGACAUUCCAUCUCUCCAGCUUCUCCACUUUCCACUUUCCUUCUUCCUGAGGUAAAGAUUUAAUACUUCGUGUGAGUCAGCCUUCGUGUGAGAGAUGAUGAACACGUGGUGUGGAUGACCAUAAGGAAAGAACCUGGGUUGUGUUGACAUUGUGGAACUCUUCAUGCCUCCGUAACAGCUUGCACUGGGGACUUCAUAUGAGAAAAAAACAAACACAGCCAUUCUCCAAACUAACCCAGUGUGCUGAACAGAGCUCGGUGGCCCAACAUGAAUUUCACAUCCCAGGGGGCCCAGUCAGGUGCCUUGCUGGGCAACUGAGAGGUGGAGCUGAGGAAUGUAUCUCUCUCUGGAUGACUGGAUGUGAACUCCACUGGAGGUGAAGUCCAGAAGGAGGCAAAGACUAAGUUUGUUGCACAGUGGACAUAAAGGAGGUAUCCUUGUAGAUAGGGUCGUGAAACCAAUAGAAGAAAAGAGAGAGAGCACGGCAUUUGCAUAUGUAGAUCUCAUAAAGCAUACUAUUAUCUCUUAAGAAUGCCAAAAAGGUCUGAAGUUCCCUAACACAUGUAUGUGAUAUAUUUUAGAGC